rnacentral:rRNA from 1 species
UUAAGUGACGAUAGCCUAGGAGAUACACCUGUACCCAUACCGAACACAGAAGUUAAGCCCUAGAACGCCGGAAGUAGUUGGGGGUUGCCCCCUGUGAGAUGAGGGAAGUCCGCUUAGC